UGGACUUUGGUAAGUACGUUGACUCAUGAAUAUAAAGGCAGUUGCCGUAAUGGGCUUUGGUGUCACAACCGAAAAUCGUCUUGCGCUUGCGCCCCCUGAGAUGUUCCAACGGUAGAAUUGAGAACUUAUUGCAGAACAUCAAAGAGUUACCGAUUUCCACAUGAUGCUGGCUGCAUCCACCUUACGAGUAACACAGUCUUCGCAAU
rnacentral:lncRNA from 1 species